CCCUUAGAUGUUCUGGGCCGCACGCGCGCUACACUGACGGAGGCAGCGAGCGUGUCCUUCGCCGGCAGGUGCGGGCAAUCUUGCGAGUCUCCGUCGUGCUGGGGAUAGAUGGUUGCAAUUGUCGAUCUUGAACGAGGAAUUCCUAGUAAGCGCGAGUCAUCAGCUCGCGCUGAUUACGUCCCUGCCCUUUGUACACACCGCCCGUCGCUACUACAGAGUGCCCGUGUCCAAGAAACGGUCGGACCUGUGCGGCCUCUCCGGGCGACCGGAGGGCCGUUACGGGGAAGACCCUUUAUUUGACGCGGGUGGAUGAAGUAAAAGUCGUAACA
rnacentral:rRNA from 1 species